rnacentral:rRNA from 1 species
CCUACAGGAGACAGCAGUGAGGAAUAUUGGUCAAUGGACGAGAGUCUGAACCAGCCAAGCAGCGUGAAGGAUGACUGCCCUAUGGGUUGUAAACUUCUUUUAUAUGGGAAUAAAAUGUUCCACGUGUGGGAGUUUGUAUGUACCAUAUGAAUAAGGAUCGGCUAACUCCGUGCCAGCAGCCGCGGUAAUACGGAGGAUCCGAGCGUUGUCCGGAUUUAUUGGGUUUAAAGGGAGCGUAGGUGGAUUGUUAAGUCAGUUGUGAAAGUUUGCGGCUCAACCGUAAAAUUGCAGUUGAAACUGGCAGUCUUGAGUACAGUAGAGGUGGGCGGAAUUCGUGGUGUAGCGGUGAAAUGCUUAGAUAUCACGAAGAACACCGAUUGCGAAGGCAGCUCACUGGACUGCAACUGACACUGAGGCUCGAAAGUGUGGGUAUCAAACAGGAUUAGAUACCCCAGUAGUC